rnacentral:tmRNA from 1 species
GGGGGCGAAAGGCUUCGACCGGAUGGCGGAUUGAUAAGCUGCACGUCCAGGACGCCGGUUGGCCUGGCUAAUCAUCCGGCAACAAAUCUUAAAUGGCAACUAUCAGUUGCGCAUGGCUGCCUAAUUAGGUAGCCCGUCCUACCGGACUUUGCCUGUGGGUUCGGCAAGGGCGUCAAACAGCAGGCUGGCUAAGCCGGUUUUUCGGGCCGGCAAGGCGAGAUACAAUCCCGAAAUAGCUGAGUUAAGAGCCUGUCGUUUGGCGUUUAGCAAGGCGAAAUAACAAUAAAGCGACUAAGCAUGUAGAAGCUUAUCUUGAAGCAUCUCGGGACGGGGGUUCGAAUCCCCCCGCCUCCAUUC